CCGACCUUAGCUCAGUUGGAAGAGCGCAAGACUGUAAUGGGUAACAUAUCAUCUUGAUGUCGCCUGUUCGAGCCAGGCAGGUCGGA
rnacentral:tRNA from 1 species